rnacentral:rRNA from 1 species
CCUACGGGAGGCAGCAGUGAGGAAUAUUGGUCAAUGGGCGGAAGCCUGAACCAGCCAAGUAGCGUGCGGGAUGAAGGCCCUACGGGUCGUAAACCGCUUUUGCACGGGGAUAACACCCUCCACUUGUGGAGGUCUGCAGGUACCGUGCGAAUAAGGGCCGGCUAAUUCCGUGCCAGCAGCCGCGGUAAUACGGAAGGCCCGAGCGUUAUCCGGAUUCAUUGGGCUUAAAGGGAGCGUAGGCGGGCGUUCAAGUCAGCGGUAAAAUCGCGCGGCCCAACCGCGCCCCGCAGUUGAAACUGGACGCAUUGAGUGCACAACAGGCAGGCGGAAUUCGUGGUGUAGCGGUGAAAUGCAUAGAUAUCACGAGGAACCCCGAUUGCGAAGGCAGCCUGCCGGGGUGCGACUGACGCUGAGGCUCGAAGGUGCGGGUAUCAAACAGGAUUAGAUACCCUUGUAGUC